UACGUAGGGUGCGAGCGUUAAUCGGAUUUACUGGGCGUAAAGCGUGCGCAGGCGGCCCGUUAAGACAGGUGUGAAAUCCCUGGGCUCAACCUAGGAAUUGCGCUUGUGACUGGCGGGCUCGAGUACGGUAGAGGGGGGUGGAAUUCCUGGUGUAGCAGCGAAAUGCGUAGAGAUCAGGAGGAACACCGAUGGCGAAGGCAGCCCCCUGGGCCUGUACUGACGCUCAUGCACGAAAGCGUGGGGAGCAAACAGG
rnacentral:rRNA from 1 species